GUUUAGAUACGCCACGAAGGUAGGAGCGAGCUACAUCAACAAGCCCAAAAUGCGACAUUAUGUGCACUGCUAUGCCCUUCAUUGCCUGGAUGAAGAGGCCUCCAAUGCACUGAGGAAAACUUUCAAGGAUAGAGGAGAAAAUGUUGGAGCUUGGAGACAGGCAUGCUACAUGCCACUUGUGACCAUAGCAGCACGUCAAGGGUGGGAUAUUGAUGCUAUUUUUAAUGCACAUCCUCGUCUCGCCAUUUGGUAUGUACCCACCAAGCUCCG
rnacentral:misc_RNA from 1 species